UUUCACGAUUUAAUUGGCAACGCCGCCUUUUCUUUGAAACGUACCUGUUUUCUGUCAAACUGUCAUUUGUCAAUGUUUCUCUUUGACUUUUCUUUAAUCUAGAAAUCAGUCUUUUUAUGUUCAGAGGUUGAAAAUAAAACCUCAAAAUGGUAAACGGUAGGAUACCGUCGGUUCAUUCUAAAACCUAUGUAACGCCUAGGCGUCCAUAUGAGAAGGCCCGUUUAGAUCAAGAAUUGAAAAUCAUCGGAGCCUUUGGUCUCCGAAACAAACGUGAAGUAUGGAGAGUAAAAUACACUCUAGCCAAAAUCCGUAAGGCCGCCAGAGAACUGCUUACUCUAGAAGAGAAAGAACCCAAAAGGUUGUUUGAAGGUAAUGCACUCCUACGUCGUUUGGUUCGUAUUGGAGUACUAGACGAGAACAGAAUGAAGCUCGAUUACGUAUUGGGUCUCAAGAUUGAAGAUUUCUUGGAAAGACGUCUGCAAACACAAGUCUUCAAAUCUGGUCUAGCUAAGUCAAUCCAUCAUGCUAGGGUAUUGAUCAGACAACGACACAUUCGGUAAUAUUUAUUUUGGUGACCAUUUUUAUAAGAAAAAAAAUUCGUGUUUGAUACACGUUUCUGAAAGGCCACUUAGUCAAAUGACUAACGCCUCUAUUUGUAACAAUGAAUAGAAGGUUUCAGGGUCCGCAAACAAGUUGUGAACAUUCCCUCCUUCAUCGUCCGUUUGGAUUCACAAAAACACAUCGACUUCUCUCUGAAAUCACCUUUGGGAGGCGGUCGUCCAGGACGUGUUAAGAGGAAGAACCUCACCAAGAAGAGCGGUGGUGGAGGUGCAGCUGAAGAAGAGGAAGACUAAGCUGUAUGUCGUGCUAGUUGUACUAGUACUUACAUAUUAAUAUACUUAUGUAUUAA